GUCUGUUUGCUGUUAUAAAUGGUCUAACCUGCCCACUGAAAAAGUUUAAAGGGCCGCGGUAUUUUAACCGUGCAAAGGUAGCAUAAUAAUUAGUCUUUUAAUUGGAGGCUUGAAUGAAUGGUUGAACAAAUAAAUGAUUGUCUCUUUUUUAAGAUUUGAAUUUAACUUUUAAGUGAGAAGGCUUAAAUAAGUCAAGGGGACGAUAAGACCCUAUAAAUCUUUAUAUAAAUGUUUAUUUUUUAUUGAUAAUUAGUGUUUAAUAAUUUUAAAUAAAUAAUAUAUUGUAUUGGGGUGAUAAAAGUAUAAAUAGUGUAACUGCUUGUAUUUAAAUACUUAUAAUGUUUGUUUAUUUUUAAUGAUCCUUUUUAAGAUUUCAAGAUUAAGUUACUUUAGGGAUAACAGCGUUAUUUUUUUUAAGAGUUCUUAUCGAAAAAAAAGUUUGCGACCUCGAUGUUGAAUUAAAAUUUCUUUAUAAUGUAGCCGUUAUAGAAGAAGGUCUGUUCGACCUUUAAUAUUUUACAUGAUUUGAGU
rnacentral:rRNA from 1 species